UCGGUUGGGGAUGGACUCGCGGCCUAUCAGCUUGUUGGUGGGGUAAUGGCCUACCAAGGCGACGACGGGUAGCCGGCCUGAGAGGGCGACCGGCCACACUGGGACUGAGACACGGCCCAG
rnacentral:rRNA from 1 species